CUUCCCAAUAGUCUCAAAGCUCUUCCGGGUUGGCGCUGGCUAUUCCAAUGACUUUGCUGGGCAGGAAAUCUUAGACGAUUCAUUCUGAAUGAAUUCAAAGCUGUGAAAGGAAAGGCUGUUAGAAGGUAGUGUGCAUAGUCAAAUAAUAGAUGUGUCCACUGUCACAGGUGAGUCUCUGUUUGAGAGAAAAAUAGAUGCCAGUUAUUCCGAGGUUGCUUUAUUCAUUCAUAAAUAUGAAACAGAUAAUUAUUGAGUGCCUUCUUUCUGUCUAGAGCUAUGCUAGGAACCACAAUGAAGCUGUGAAUGUGGCAGACAAGAAUGGUGCCUACACAAAGCUUCAAUUUUGGGCACAGAGUUCCAAGGUUACAGCACAGACAAUGACGAUAGAGAAGAGAAUCGUGCUAACCAGCUUGCCCAGGAGCGGACUCUAGCUUUACCACCUGAGCCAACCUAGCUGUGGCUAAUUUUGAAAAGGGAGAAAUAGCACUCAAUAUAUUCCACAGAUCUGCAAAUUCUUGGACACUUCUGCAGUAAAAAGGUGGAGACUGGGCUUCCCUGGUGGCACAGUGGUUGAGAGUCCGCCUGCCGAGGCAGGGGACACAGCUUCGUGUCCCGGUCCGGGAAGA